CAACUAAAAGCAGGAGGCAGUGGUACUCUGACCUCUACUGAUGCGGAGCAGCAAAGAAAGAGGAAAUGAUGUAUGGGGAGGAGAGUUUUAUAGUACCAAACUUUUUUUCUGAUUGGUUGUUUUUCUAUGCUGCUGUGGAGUUCUAGUAAAGAGAGACUUAAAGGGACACUCCAGGCACCCAGACCACUUCUGCCCAUUGGAGUGGUCUGGGUGCCAACUCCCACUACCCUUAACCCUGAAAGUGUAAUUAUUGCAGGUUUUUAUAAACUGC